rnacentral:lncRNA from 1 species
CAUCUGUUUCAGACAUUUAUUUCCAUUUAAAUGACACUUUGAAAGAUCGAGGAGCCAAUCUGUACCGCAAAGACAACUUAUCAUCAAAGACUCUAGAAGUACAAUCGUAUCAAUUCACAAGACUUGAUUUCUUCAACUUAAAUGAUAGCUUUUAGUUAAAAUAUACCUGAGAGAAGAACUCCAAAGGAUGCCUGCCUCAUAAUCUGCCCUGGACUUGUCAUUCCCGACAGGACACCUCAAUGGACACUGCCCCACCCCAUUAAGACUCUGAAGCGUAGGGUCCCAUUGCUUUGCUUCCGAAAUCCAAGGGGAACAAGAAGUACCCAUCUCUUACAAAAAUAAGCAUGUCAACAUUGUUCAGUACAUUUUUCUACACAUAUAAAAUCAAAAUAAAUUGUAAAAAUAUUUUUCCAGGUACAAAAUAAAUAUAGAAAACAUCAAUGUAAAAACAAAAGGAUUGUCCGAUUCAGACCAUUACCUUGCCAAUUUUUCGGGAAGAGUGAAUUAUCACAUCAAUCGACAACCUAAAACUCACCUAGUUAAGUGCAUUAUUUUCAUAAUUUAAUUUUCAUUAAAAAUAAAUAUGAUUAUUAACCAAUAAUAAGGACAUAUACCCAUUUCCAAAAUACAAUGACAUAAGAGUCUAGCAGAUCCCCCUAAUAUACAAGGAAAUGACAGUUUCAAAUAGCAUUCAGUGACAUGUAAAUUUAAUUUCGUGUCUUUUAGGAAAAGCAAAAUUUGACUGCGAAGUCUCCUCUGGUUGCAUUAAGUAAUUUCCAGUCAUGGUAGAUUUUAGUGAUGUCUUAUUUGACCAGGUAAAACAAGUCAUCUAUUUCCCAUCUGAUACUCUCUGGAGCCGAAUUGAACCAAGUAUCACUAUGUCUUUGGCUUACCUCUUCGGGGACCCAGGGACUGGACCCCUGAGCCAACAGACCUCACGCUGGCUUCGCUGGCAGGAGGGUCUGCGCCUGGCUGUGUCCACGCCACACUGGCCAACUUAACUCUGCGCUUCUUUGACCAGUGAAUGGAGGUAGAAUAGAUGAUGUAAAGCAGUAUGACACAAAAUGUUGCAUUUGGCUAUGGAGUUCGUUUUUCUGCUCAUAUUUAAAAGUGAUUGUGUCUGAUAAGUAGGAAGAUCAUUUUUUAAAUUAAUUAAAAACUAAUUUUUUGUUUGUCAGUCUUCCGAUUGGCAGGUGCCAGGAUGCACUCCAACUUCCUCCUGUUGGCGUGGCUCUUGCCCUGUGCAGAGGGUGGACAGGUUCCCUUCAGCUUCAAGGCCAAUCUGAGAGCAAGAGGUCCGUUCCUAGCACUCAGAUUUCAACAGCAGGAAAACAGACAGAAAUUCAUGCCUCUACAUUCCCAGGGGCCACACACUGCAAAUCCUUCUCUCUACAUUCCCAACAGAGAAUGUAAGCACCUUUCAUAUCCCAGAGACAUAGUUAAGAGUUUACUUCAAAUACACCUCAGCCCAUGAUAAAGUUCCUAGUGUUCACAUACAGAUUUUGGGGUCACGUAGAACGAAACAGAAAUAAAAACAAGUCCCAACAAUAAUGAAUAAAAGAGGCUUCAGGAACUGAUGUUUGAAGGAACCUUACAGCUCACUCCCAGGCCACCAUUCUUUCUUGUGAUGGGAGUUGCCUUGUGGGUGCCUGAAUACCACCUUUGAGAGAUCCCCUGAGAACCCAAUAGAUAAUUAUCAAGUAUCUACUCUCCAGCAGGCACCAUGCCAGAGACCCAAACAGAGAGAGGAAUCAGGCUGGAAGAACUUUAAAAUCUGCCAGGAGCGACACAGCCAUGGAAAUUGCUAUAAUGUCCAUUCUGAUAUAACAAACGCUGAAAAUUAAUUAAUUAAAAAAAUGUUAUGAGAAAGCAAAUAAUUCCUGCUACAGUUUGAAUGUGUCCCCCAAAGUGCAUGUGUAAGGAAACUUAAUCCCCAGUGCAACAGCGUUGAGAGGUGGGACCUUUUAAGAGGUGACUGGGUCAGGAGGGUUCUGCUGUCAUGAAUGAAUUAAUGUUAUUAUAAGAGGAGGGUCAGUUAUUGCCAAGAGUGAUUUUAUCAAAGCAAGUUUUGCUCUUUUGCCCACAAUGACACAGCAUGAAGGCCCUCACCAGAGGCCAGUGCCAAGCUCUUGGACUUCCUAGCCUCUAGAACCAUGAGCCAGAUUAAUUUCUAUUGUCUAUAAAUCGCCCAGUCUGUGGUAUUCUGUUACAGCAACACAAAACAAACUAAGACACUUCCAAAUGGAGGACAUGGAGAAAAUGUAAACAUUGCCUCAUCUGUUUUUAAAAUGAGGGUGCAUGGCAGCUGUUAGAUUAAAUAAUUAACAAGCCUGAUUUAAUAUAUCACAGAGCCAUAGACUCUUGGCACGGAGGGCCCAUGAGAGUCACCAAAGCCUGUUUUUUUUUUUCUUUUGGAACUGUUUAUCAAGGAUUCUAAAUAGUAUUGCCUCCUCAGUUCUUGCCUGUAAAAAAAACACGUAGAUACUCAAUAGGCUGGUUGAUCUGUUUCACUUUAUUUCACUCUUUCUAAAUGUUCUGCCUGAAAGUUGGUGUCACAUCCUUCAGAGAUGUCUGGAACUGUGGACCACGCCUGCAGCUGGCUUCCACCUUACUGAACAUGGGUGUGUGGCACAUAGCUGUCAUAUAACAAAUGUGUGACUGAUUGUGCAAAGGUGAAAACGAGUGAGGCCCUCAACUCCACCCUGCCACCCCAACAGCUGAGGAGGGCAGUGGGGGUGCCUGCUGUUUUACAUCCCAGGUAAUUAAACCGCCCCUUGCUCUUCCACUGCCCUUCAUGGACACGGGUGGGGCAGUUAACAUUGUUCAGAACCAGCUUCCACUGAGCAUGGUAUCUCUAAUUAGAGCCUCAGAUCUGUCUGUCUGUCUCUCUCUCUCUCAUAGAUACACACACACACACACACACACACAGUCUGAGUGUGGCGCCCCCGGGCUUGUUUUGCAAGGGCAUUAGAUAGGGAGACAGGGAAAGUGGGCUGGACUGAAGAGUUUAUUUUCUGAAGCCAGACAUUUGUUUGGGCUGCCAUUGGACACUUGAGUAACCUCAAGAGAGGGCUGGCCAGGGCAGGACAGGUCAGGGGAUCCAGCUAAACGGGAGGUCCUUGGGAAUGACACAGAUAACUAAGUGCCGAAUCCCAGGAGGUCAAACAGGCCCAGGAAGGGGCAGACUGAAACUCAUAUCAACACUUGGAAAAAAAAAAGUGACAGAAGACAGGAAAAGGGGUCAGGUGGCACACUCCUUGGGCAGGGCUGGUCCCAAGCUUCCUAUGAAAGCAGAUACAUCGGAGGACUCACCACUGUGCCAAGUGGAGAAAAGCAAGGCUGCUCGCGGGAGGCAGCAUUUGGAGGCCGAGGGCCUGUGUCUCCACCACGUCUGAGCCCCCGGGGAAGUCACUGAGUCACCUGCCCCUCAGUUUCCUCCUCUUAAAUCCAGGGGCAUAAUUAUAAGAAUGGUGCCCUCCAGAGGCUGCUGUGGGGUUUCAGUGAAACAGCAGGUAUGGAUGGACAUGGCUUACGAUGCCCACAGAGAAGGCACUGGAACGCUUCUUUAUUCAGCUGUCAAGGGAUCAGGUGCCCCUGAUAAUCUUCUCAGCAUUGUGUAUUUACCCAGUGAAAGCUCUGUAUGCAAAACCCACGGCCUCGAACCUCAGCUUGACCCUCAUUCAGGAUGCCCGGUCAAAGCACUGAGCACUCAACAGAUGAAUAAAUAAACGAAUGAAUGUCUGACAUGGGAUUUCUGAUGCCAGCUUUUAAUCCUGGAUGUGCCACUCGCUGAAGGACCUGGCAAAGUCACUCCAUUUUUCUGAGCUUUGGCUUUCCUAACUGUAAAAGGUUUUAUCUUAAAAAAAAAAAUACUGUAGAUAAUUUCUAAGGCAUCUUCCAGCUCCAACUUCUUUUACCUCAUUCAGAUUUUCACAUAUUCUGAAUUAAGAGGGUCAAGAACACAGUGCUCUGAUUGUGAAGAAUGUCACGAACAGAAGAACUUCUCCAAGAGUUCCAGGAAAGAUUCAAAUGAAGAAAAAGAACAAGAGCUGAAACAAAGCCCUACAGACUCAAUCUGAAGAGUUUUUGAUUUGCACAGAGAUCACCAGACACUGACAGGUACACUGAUAGAUAGUGCUGUAUACACCACCAUAGAAUCCACCAAAAUUCACAGCCCAAACACUGACUAUAAUCAUAAGCACCUGCAUUUACUGAGCACCUACCAUGGGAUGUUGAGCAGUUUAUACUCAUCCUCUCAUUUAACCCACAUGAUCAUCCCAUGAGGCGGGAACUACUAUGGUCCCAUUCUUCAGAUAACAAAACGGAGACAAUGAGAAGAUAAGUAACUUGCCACUCAAGGGACUUGGCGAGGAAGGUAAAAUUCAAACCCAGGCAGCCUGACUCCAGAGCGCAGACCCUGCCCCAGCGAACAGAGCCCGGGGGUGAAGGGUAUGCCCAAGGUCACACUGGAGGGCUGAGGCCGAGUUCUAAAUGUACCACAGCUGGGUGCCAUGCAAGCUUGUCCCUCCCGCAUGCAUAUCUCACUCGCAUUGAUUCAGAGCAGGAGGGGGAAAAAAUGCCUAACACUGAGCACGUGUGAGGAUGAUGUCAUGGGAGGAGGAGGCUACAACUUCCAUUGAGACAACCAUUUCACACCUGGGCACUCCACACCACGCCAUCUUAACAAGACCUCCUUCUUCAUAUCGUUACUCUGCAAAUCACACACAGACCUUGCCCCCCAAAUCAGGGAUAUUUGGAAUAUAUAUCCUGAGUUUGCAGAGGCUAGCUUAGAGCCUGGGUCUGCAAUGGUGGUCUUGGAGUCUCAGGUCACAGAGGCUGGCCUGGUACCAAGAUCUACUAGGAUAAGCCUAGAUCCUGGGUCUACUUGAGCAAGUUGUAACCUGGGUCCUCUGCAGCCUGGGGCCAUGGAGACCUCUCUGGUACUUGGGGUCAGCCCGGUGCUGGGGAUAACAUGGAGCCUUGGUCUCUGGAUCUAUUUACCCCAAAUCAGGAAAUAACCAAGCAAACCCAUUGCUGCUAAGCAACCACUGCAGGCCAUUAGAUACAACAUCGCGAUAGCAGCCCAUGCAUUCAGCCUGCACCCAGUGCUAGGCACAGCCGUGCCAAGAACUCAAUGUGAAUUAUCUUAAUUUCCACACCUCUGACAACCUUCUGAGGUGAACACUAUUAUCAUCCCAUUUUAUAGAGAUGCAGAGACUGAGGUGCAGAGAGAAUGACCACCUGGGGCCACAGCUAGCAAAUUGCAGAGCCAGGGCUGGAACCCGGAGGCGGAGGCUUGAGCGGAGAUGUAAAUGGAAUGGGGCCUCCGUAAGUGGGUCGCCCAGCCCUGGAAGCAAGGUCUCCUCUUCCCCAGUUAGUAUCCUCCCAUGGGCCCUUUUCCCCAGCUUCCCCACCAGGUAGACAGUAACCUGGUGUCCCAGUUACCUCCUUACCGGGUGGGUCUCUAUUUUCCAUGGCUCCUGCCACCAUGGAAGCUGGAGGCUCUGCAAGGCUGUACGUCAGUACAGUUUCUACAGGUGCACAGGGCUAGCUGUGCCCUAAAGAGCGGACGGAAUCCACAUUCUGCACUUCUAGCUGCACAACCUUGGGGUGUGCACACACACACACAAUGCUUCCUUGUUCUUACCAUUCCCAGAGGCCAUGCUCAUAUUUGUUAGCUGAAAUUUAAAGCUUAGGAAGGAAUUUUAAUAAAUUACUUAUGAAACCAAAGUAAACAUCGGGAUAAUUUUUUGCACAAAAAUAACCACACUCAAGGGGAUCAAAAACUCGCAUGAAAAUUAAUUAUUUGGCUUUCCAAGUCCAUUUCAGCCCUCUGUGCCAGCCUGUUGGGAUAACCGGUGCAGCACCCGGUGCCCGGCGGGAGUUGGAAAUCACCAGUCUGACCUCUCACGGACGGCGUGGCCAAAGUUAACUUAGCAAAUUGAGGGCACUGCGAAGCUCGUUAAAUAGGCAAUGACACAUGAAACAAUGAAAAUUGCUGCUCUUGACCACGCUCACCCUCCUGCAGCCUCCAGGGAGGUGGCCUCGGGGCUCACUGACCCUGUGCCAGGAAGCUCUACCCUCAGGACAGGGUGCCAGAGGGCAAGUCACUGGCUUCCCUGGGCCUCUGAGUUUCCUAAUCAGAUUUGCUGUUUUAAAAAAUUACUCCAAAUGUCAAGUGGAGGACAGAUUGGAAAGUGGCAGGGACAGGCCCGUGGGACCAGUUAGGAGGAGGUGGCUCGAGUCGGGAUGAAUCCAGACAGGUGUGGGCGGCAAGCCAGAGGUUAGCACAGCGGGCGUGGGAUAUGGGGCUCAAGGAAAGAAGGCCUGGCAAGUUAUUGUUGACUUGGAUUUUUCUUUCCUCUCUUUUCACACAGUGUAUUAUGUGGUUACAAUGGUGUGUUUGAAGAGGAGCAGGAAUUAAAUACAUUUAGGGUUUUGUUUUGUUUUUUAAGGCAUGGUGGAUGCCAGCAGGCUGAAGGGUCAGGAGGUCUGGUCUUCCCACUGCCACUAAGUGCUGAGCUGAAGCACAAAUUCUUGAAACAUGGCUGGGUGUGGUGGCUCACACCUAUAAUCCCAGCACUCUGGGAGGCUGAGGCACGUAGAUUACCUGAGGUCAGGAGCUCAAGACCAGCCUGGCCAACAUGGUGAAACCCCGUCUCUACUAACAAUACAAAAAUUAGCUGGUUGGUGGUGCAUGCCUAUAAUCCUAGCUACUCGGGAGGCUGAGGCACAAGAACCCAGGAGGUGGAGGUUGCAGUGAUCCAAGACUGCACCACUGCACUUCAGCCUAGGUGACAGAGUGAGACUCUGUCUCAAAAACAAACAAACAAAAACAAGAGUUUGCAUGACAGUGUAGAUGAGACAGGACUGGCCAGGUGUCGGGCUGGAGGACAGGCGCACAGACUGCACCGUGUGAUUCUGUCCACCCUGCAUUGUGUGAGGUUUUCCGUUUUGGAAGAAAAGGGGUGAAGAGCAUGGCUGUGGAGCAUUUCUAGGUUUUCAGGUCACAGAGUCGCACCCAUUUCCUACUUACUGACUCAAGUGAAACCACAGUGUUGGCUUACUUUGAAAAAUAUUUCUUUUUUUUCAGUCCUGGUUCACCCAUUCCCUUCUAAAACCCACCUACCAUACCAAUACAUUCAGUUCCACUCAACAAAUGUUUAUUGAGCAUCUACUAUGUGCUGGGACCAUGCUAAGAAUCCAAGGUGCGUCAGUGAAGGAAACAGAGAAAGACCCACGGCCCACACAAAGGUUACAUUCAAGUUGCGUGAAACAUAAACCAUAAAAUAUAGAUAUGUUAUAAUAAACAGAUAUUACAUGCUUUGUUAGAAAUUGGUAAGUGCAAGGAAAACAAUAUAAGGUACGGGGCAUGGGAGUGAGGUGAGUUGCAUUUUCCUACAGGGAGGUCAGGGUAGGCCUCACUGAGAAGGUGACAUUGACCAAAUGUCAACAAGGCAAAGAAGCGAAGCAUGAGAGCAUCUGAAGAAAGGGCACUCCCAGCAGAGAGGACAGCCAGUGCCAAGGCUGACGGGGAUGGGCACAUAGGGCAAAGGGGCUGCUGUGGCUGGAACAGACUGCUGUUCAGGGAACAGCAAGAGGCCAGAGGGAGUGAGCAAAGGGACACGAUUAGGGAAUCACAGGUAGACAAUGGUAUGAAGGAUGUGGUUUUUAUCCUUAAUAUCCUUGGUGAUGGGAAACCUCAGGAGGGUUUUGAGCAGAGAAAUGAGAUUUUCAAAGGAUCACUCUGGAUGCUGCUGGGAAGAGACCAAAGGAUGCAAUAAUGGAAGCUGAGGGAGGGUCUGGAGGUAGCUGCACGAAUGCAGGUGAGAGGCAAUGCAGGCUUGAACAAGGGUGGUCGCAGUGGAGGGGCAGGAGGUGGUUGGCUCCUGGAGAGAAUUUGAAGGUAGUUCCCACAGUCUUUCCUGAUGCACCAGAUGGGAGAGGAGUCGGAAUGGCUCCAGGGCUUCCCACUUGAGCUGCAGGAAGAUGGAGUGGCCAUUACCUGAGACGGGAAUGGCUGCAGAUGGGCUGGAUGUGGGGCAGUUAACCAGAAGACGGCAUUUGGGAAAGAAGGGAAGGAUUAGGACGAGGCAACAGACAAGUAAAACUCUCGUGCGGGGUUCCACCAGAAACGCAACAGGAUGGGGCAGCGGGACGGGGAAGGGGGUCAGGGAAGGGGUCGGGGAAGGUGGUGGCCAUUUCUGGUCAGGUGGAAAAUGGCAGCGUGUCUGUGUGCUAAUGGGGUGAUCCAGCAGAGGGGACAGCAGGUGGUAGGACGAGAGUGAGGCCACAUCAGGAGCUGUGGAAGAAGAGCUGGAGUCAGUCCAAUACCAGGGGUUCUGGCACCACGGGGGCCAAGUGGCUUCUGCCACAGUCACAGUAGAAGGCAGAGUACGGAGGUUUGGGGGCUGGGUGUAGGCGUGUAUGGUUGGGGGAGUCUGAGGAGGCACCCCAGAGAGGCAGUGGGAGCAGCCAAUGCAAUGUGCUCCCACAGCUCCGUCAGCAGGUGGCUGGGGAGGCCACAGGGCAGCUUAGGGUCACCCCGUUUCCACCACUUUUCACCUAUGUAACCUUGAAUGAGUUGUUCACCCUCUCUCUCUCUGCCUCAGUUUCCUAAUCUGUAAACCUGAGCAACUGCAGGUCUCUGCCCCCGGAAAACUCAUUGAGAGCAUGUAGAUGAGGCAAUACCUACACAGCCCCUAGCUCAGCACCUGCCCAUCGGAAUCCUUCCUCUCUGGGUGCCUGCGGUGAAGCCCCGGCCCGGCCAACCUGGACCUCUCCAUUCCCACUCUGGAGCUAGCGCUGGGUGUUCCUGGGGAAGCACUGCUUGGCCUCCUCACUCAUGCUUUCACAUUGUUUCUCACUCUCACAUCCAGACAAGACAGCACCAGGAAACCCACGCUGAGCUGGAACCCUCCUUCUGCAACAAACAAGCUGGGAAGGUCCUGGGCAAGUUGUUACGUCUCUCUGAGCCUCGUUUGCAUCCCACAUAAAAGAGGAGGCAGGAUUGAAUGAGCUCUAAGGUUCCUUCAAGUUCUAGAUUCAUGAAAUAAUGUUUUUUCCUCAAGAAAAAGAAUUAUUCAUUGUAUAAAGAAAUACACACCUGUAAUCCCAACUACCCACUGGCUGAGGCAGGAGGCUCGUUUGAGGCUCGUUGAGUUCAAGGCUGCAGCGAGAUCAGGCCACUACGCUCCAGCUUGGGUGACAGGGUGAGACCCUGUCAGAAAAAAAGAAAAGAAAAGAAGAGGGAAGGGGAUGGGAGGGGAGGGGAGGGGAGGGGAAACAAUGGGUCUCAAAGAAAAUCCUUUAAGAACACACAGAAGCAGUAGGGAGAGCCCACGCCUGUCCUCAUUUGUCCCUGGAGCUGUGGGCUGUGAGCUGAUGCUGUGAAGGCCAGACCCAAAGCCAGUCACACAGAGGCAGCAGCUGGACCGGCCUCGCCGACUGAGACCAGUGGCCACACAGACACACACCUGACAAGGUAGACCACGAAACACAGACGCAGGCCUACUGCCAAACAGACGACUUCUCCCUCAAAGCACAGUCAUCUUCAGAAUGAGAGGCGGCCCAUCCUAUGGAACCGAGAGGCGUGGCUCUUAAAUUUGGGCUUCAAAAGACAAGCUCAGUCCCUGAUUUUUUCCACCUGAGAAGGAGGCUUUUCUGAACAUGACCCAGUGCGUUCAGAGCAGCCAGGAUGAGGAAACACAUCUACAAAGAAGCAGCUUAAUCCAAACACAAGAAAUGGUAUGCAAAAUAGGAUAUCAGACGUACUUUUGCAAUUGAACAUGGUCAAAACCAUUUUGCAGCAAGUAACUUUUCCUGAGUUCAAGUAAGAGUUUAGUCCAACAUUUAUAUGUGACACAGCCAUGUGAGGCCUCUUCUCUGAGUACAAAGUAAAGUCUGG